rnacentral:sRNA from 1 species
AUGUCACACAGCGGUAUCAAAACCUUACCAGAAUUUAUUAUAGCUGAAUCUAACUCUGGAGCGAACGAAUGGGAGGCUUACAAGCGCGACUUUCUUGUGCAUUUAGAUGCUCUGGGGCUGGACGACAAACCCGGUAAGAGGAAAGUACGAUUAUUACUAGCUAACAUGGGCCGGGAAGCUGUGAAAAUCUACGAUUCGUUCACAUGGGCUCCACAAAUAGAAGAGGACAGAGACAACAACAUCGAGGCACAACCGGGAGAGAAUAAACAUGAUCUACAGACAGUAUUCAAGAAGUUCGAUCGUCACUUUGGGGUCCAUAACUAUCGAAACAUUAAAAGGCAAGAAUUCUUGAAAACCAGGAGAGGCAAAAAUACAAUAAUGGAUUACAUAUCCGAGCUGAAACGUAAAGCUGAAUUUUGUGAGUACGGAGAGCAGAAAGAAGGGUUGAUAUGUGACAUGAUAAUUAACGGUGUUAAUGAUAUGAAAUGUUCAGAGAAGUUAAUGGAAAUUCCCGCUGGCGAAUUAACCCUGGAUAGGGUCAUUCAAACCUGUCGUCAAGUCGAAUUGACCAAUGUGCAUUUGAAAAAUUUGGACGCUGAAAACCCAUCAGACAUUGUCCAGCAUUUAACAAGCAUUGUGAUGCCUGUGGACAGAAAGGACACUUUAAGCAUUCAAACCUAUGUCAAAGUUGUGCAGCACUACCAAGAGGUCAUCAGAGAAGUCGGAGAAAUUUCAGAGGAAGAGGACACCCUCCGCGGCGUUCGCGAGUAUAUUAUGCGGAAGACAACACACCUCAUGACAACUCUGAGCUAG